AGGACGAACGCUGGCGGCGUGCUUAACACAUGCAAGUCACGGGGGCCCGCAAGGGCAACCGGCGAACGGGUGCGUAACACGUGAGCAAUCUGCCGAUUUCUGGGGGAUAGCCGGCCCAACGGCCGGGUAAUACCGCAUACGCUCGUUGAGAGGAGUCUCUCGACGAGGAAACCUCCGGGGGAAAUCGAGGAGCUCGCGGCCUAUCAGCUAGUUGGUGGAGUAACGGCCCACCAAGGCGACGACGGGUAG
rnacentral:rRNA from 1 species